rnacentral:lncRNA from 1 species
AUUUCAAGUUCAAGGUUUGGUAUGUUUUGAAGUCAGCCUUUGGUUAUUGUGGACACAGUGGGAACAGUGAACAUCUUAAGUACUUUAGAAAAUACUAAAGCAUGAACAACUUUACAGAUAGGAAUUUAAACCAUUAUAAUAAUUUUAUUUCCUCUAGAGUUAUAGCUCAUUGGUAGAGCAGCAUGUAUUCAUGAUAUGCAAGGCCCUGGGUUCAACCCAUAGCACCAAAAUAAAAUCUAAAUUUUGUCUUAUUUUCAAAGAAAAAAUUUUACUUUUCUCAGUUAAGACUCUUGUUGUGCCAGUGACUCAUGUAUCAGUUACUCUUUUCUUCCUUUCUUCUUUACUAAAUUUUCUUUUGACUUUCUUUAUACAAGAUACUAUGGUAAGUGUUAAGAAUCCAUUGGUGAGGGGCUGGGGAUUUAGCUCAGUGGUAGAGCACUUACCUAGGAAGCGCAAGGCCCUGGGUUCGAUCCCCAGCUCCGAAAAAAAGAACCAAAAAAAAAAAAAAAAA